rnacentral:rRNA from 1 species
GAUGAACGCUGGCGGCGUGCCUAAUACAUGCAAGUCGAGCGCAGCGUGGACGCGUGUCUAACCCGUCUAUAACCUCCUAUAAGACUUGGAUAACUUCGGGACACCUGAUCUCAACCUGAUCCUUAUAGAUUGUUCCGCGGUGCAUUAGCUAGUGGGUAAGGUAACGGCUUACCAGAGCAACGAUGCAUAGCCGACCUGAGAGGGUGAUCGGCCACACGGGAACUGAGACACGGUCCCGACUCCUACGGGCGGCAGCAGUAGGGAAUCUUCCGCAAUGUGCGAAAGCCUGACGGAGAAACGCCGCGUGAGUGAUGAAGGUCUUCGGAUCGUAAAACUCUGUUAUUAGGGAAGCGGUAACUAAACAGAAAGCAACGGCUAACUACGUGCCAGCAGCCGCGGUAAUUC